rnacentral:tRNA from 1 species
UGACUCGUAGCUCAAUGGUAGAGCACUUGACUGUUAAUCAAGGCGUUAUGGGUUCAAGCCCCAUCGAGUCAG